rnacentral:lncRNA from 10 species
GUACUGGAAGGCCACUGCAAAUGCUUACAGACCACCCCAAGGGAAGAACAGCAGGGGAGAAGUCAUGCAGAAAGAGAGCCAACAUAAGAAACCCCAAGUCAAAGGUCGAACCGUGCACUGGCUCUCUCCAGUCGCCUGCUUGGCCCUCUUCCAAGUGUACUUUACUUCCUUUUGUUCCUGCUCUAAAGUUUUAAAUAAUAUUUCGCUCCUGCUCUAAAACUUGCCUUGGCCUCUCACUCUGCAUUAUAUCCUUCAGUUGAAUUCUUUCUUCUGAGGAGUCAAGAAUUGAGGUUGCCGCAGACACCUGUGGAUUUGCUGCCAGUAACAAAAUGUACUCACUCUAAAUUGUCUGGAAUCAGGAUCAACUGAUGUCAAGCAUGGAGCUCAAGCAGCCAUGAUCACGAGAUCGUGAGGCAGUAAUUCCAGUAAUGUGAUGAAGUAGCAAGAGAUAAGUAAGUCCAGGUAUCUGUUACUUUCCCUAUUUUGCAAUACUUAAUGGAUACAUACAAUCUGUCAACUCUUCUCUCUGGACCUGCGCAUACACUGCUCCAUCUGCCUGAAACAAUCUUUCCCUGGUCAACCGCCUACCCACUGCCACCUUGGAGAACAGCUACUCAUAGUCACCCUCAGAUUAUAUCGUUUUCUCACCCAUCUCAUCCUCUUCCUUGCCGUUUCACCACCUCCCUUCAACCUUGGUGGGCUUUGCCCAUCUGUCUGCUUGACAGGACACCCCUAUUGUUACCUUUGACUGGACUAUUAGAUGACAUCUCAGUUACUUACCUUUUAUGUGCUAGAAUUAAUUUCCUAGCUGGAGUUGUCCCCAUGACCUGAAGCUGAGUGCCUGCUCUACCAUGCAAGAAGCUCUAUUGCCGAGGCCUAGGCCUGUUUUGGGGGCUUCUCUAGCCAAUGUCAAUGUCCCAUUCCUAGUUGCAUUCUGAAAUAUAACAUCUGAGUUCACAGUAUUGUCUUAAGCUAUAAUCACUAGAGAGAGCUCUAUUGGUGUUGUGGAUGCCUUGCACCAUGCCUAUUACUUUGGAGAAGCACAGUAAAUAAGUGAUGGUUCCCUAGGAUGACUGCAUAGACACAGGAAUGUUUGUUUUGGCUUAAUGAUAACACUAAUGAUGUUGCCAGUUGUAAAGGAAGGAACACUGCUCUUUCUUCAUGCCACCUGUGAGUAUAUACCUCUAUCUAUCUCUCAAAAGGGAGAUAACUUGUUAAUCUGAUGAUGGAACAGAGUUCCAGACAAUUACUGGGAGGUGGGGCAAUGUGCCUUGAAGGGUGCCAUCUUUGGUUCCACCACUCCUCUCUUGUUUACAUUUUAUUCUGUAUGCAUUUCUUUCUCUUUCAUGCUGAGUCCAAGAAAUUGGAUGAUAGCAUGCUGGGUGGCCCUGAAAGUUCAUCCAUCUCUUUAUAGCUCUCUGAAAGCACAUCUGAGCUUGAUAAUCCCUAGAUUUAGGUUUGGCAGGGAGGUAAUAAGUCCUGCUAAGGUCUCAAGCAGAAUCGACUUGUUCUAAUUCACCAUUUAUUUAUUUAUUAUCAGUUUUUUUUUUUUUUUUUUUUUUUUUUUGCAGAGAUGGGGUCUUGCUGUGUUAUCCAGGCUGGCCUCAAACUCCUGGCCUUAAGUAAUUCUCCCUCCUCAGCCUCUCAAAGUACUGGGAUUAGAAGUGUGAGCCAUUGCACCGGGCCAUAACUCAGUGUUUUGUUUUGUUUUUGUUUUAGUUUUCUUUUGAGACAGAGUCUCUCUCUUGUCACCCAGGCUGGAGUGCAAAGGCGUGAUCUUGGCUCACUGCAACCUCCGACCCCCAGGUUCAAUCAAUUCUCCUCCCUCAGCCUCCCUAGUAGCUGGGAUUACAGGUGCCCGCCACCAUACCUGGCUUAUUUUUGUGUUUAUAGAGUUGGUGGCCAGGCUGGUCUUGAACUCCUGACCCCAGGUGAUCCACCCACCUUGUUCUCCCAAAGUGAUGGGAUUACAGUUGUGAGCCACUGCGCCCGGCCAACUCAGUAUUUUUAAUGGAGCUCUUUUCAAAACAUCAGGCAUUUGAGAGCAAUUAAUAAAAUGAUUUUUUAUUCUCAUAUUGCUGUUGCACCUUGCAUAUAUCUUCCUGGAAUCUUACUGUAGGAAACAAAUGUGAUGACAGGGCAGGAUUUGUCAUUCCUUGGUCUUUGAUCAUAUGACCACAGAUAGAGUUGAAUGCAACCAUGCUCUUCUUUCCAAUAAUCAUGGUGACAUAAGAACUCAUGCAGUUAUGGUUCGCAGCACUGACUGGCUGCUGCUGCUGCUUCUGAAGGAGAAGGAAUAGAGAAGGAAAGAGGGAAAGAUAUUGUGAGCUGCCAAAGGUGAGGUCCUUGUAAUUAGAAUGUGGUUCAUUACUGAAUGCCGGAUACUGGUUUGGUAGGUUACCUGCAGGAAUAUUUUUUGUGAUCCAAAGAUGGUCCAAUUUCGCCCAAGAGAGGACCAACUUAUUUUAAGUGACUCAAAGCUAGAUGACAAAUGGAGAGAUGCAAGUUAAAAGACAGGCCUAGGCCAGGCACGGUGGCUCACGCCUGUAAUCCCAGCACUUUGGGAGGCCAAGGUGGGUGGAUCACCAGGUCAAGACACAGAGACCAUCCUGGCCAACAUGGUGAAACCCUGUCUCUAGUAAAAAUACAAAAAUUAGCCGGGCGUGGUGGCGUGCACCUGUAGUCCCAGCUACUCAGGAGGCUGAGGCAGGAGAAUCGCUUGAACCUGGCAAUCGGAGGUUGCAGUGAGCCAACAUUGUGCCUUUGCACUCCAGCCUAGUGACAGAGCGAGACUGUCUCAAAAAUAAUAAUGAUAAUAAAAUAAAAUAAAAUAAAAUAAAAUAAAAUAAAAGACUGGCCUAAAGCUGAAUUUUCCCCAUCAUUUGGGUGGGCGAUAGUCUUCACCAACCAUUUCUGUUGGCCAUGAGCCUCUCCAUUGUCCCCUGCAUCAAAAACAAACUCCAUAUAAAACCUCAGCAGUAUUAAUGGAAUGAACACCACUGUGUUUGGUGGGCUGUCAAUGAGGUGAUGAUGUCUGGCUCUUAUUAAGCAUCCUAAGUCAAUUACUGAUUGGCAGAAAUAGAAGCACAGCAUUAUUUAGUUAUGAUCAGUGACGAUACAACCGAACGACCUUCACACCCCCUGGAGGGCCACAGUGCUGACAGGCCUGUGGGUGUCUGCAUCCUCUGAGCUGCCUGCGGGGAGCUGCUGAUGUCUCCGAGGAGAGGCGGUGGAUGUGGGCUAACGAGGACGUGCUGUUCCACACAGGGCACCCAUAAAGUGCUGCCAGGUCUCUCAUUAGGGACUCCUCAGCCCGGCCCUUUCUGGCAGGCAGCCAGUGUUCUCAUCCACAAAGGAAGAAGGUGAGGCAGACAGAAAACAAAGUCCAGAGUGACCUUGGGACAAAAUCAGGGUUGGGACUCAGUGUUCCCAAGGCCUGUGCCUGGCCCGUUCUGACGCUUGGCAGCUGUUUACCUGAGUGGGUGGCAUGUUCUCCGCCCUCACUUGAAUCACUCUUCCCAGUAAUAGCCUCUGGCCCAAGUAACUCAGAAAAGUAAUUGGUAUGGCUUUGGUCCUGAUGCUGGACUUGUUAAGAUGGUAAGAGGAGAUAUUUGUGUUUAUAACUAACUUAGCAUGAUUUAGUAAGGCAGACCACUUGGGCCAUGUUAUCUAUAUUUCUGUAUAAUAUUUUAUCUUUUGCCUGCCUGAGGAUUAUGGGACAGGCCAAGAAAAUGGAUAUAGCAAUAAAAGAUCCAUACCCAGGAUCUGAAGAGGCAGAUAGAAUCUGAUCAUUGGGGGUACUUAGCAACAUGCAGCUCUCGAGGAAGGAGGCCACCACCAUUUCUUAGAGAUACAGAUAUUUGGGUUCAUGGGCUGACCAGUCCUGUCUAUUCCCCUGGAAUGGAGUGACUAAGGGCAGGAGAGAGAGGGCUGGGGAGUGAGCAAGGGCACAUACCUAUAGAGAAUAGUAUCCUUUGGUCCAAGCUGCAUCCAUCUUCAGUUCCAGUGGAGAAACUGAGGCAGUUUAGUAGCUUUGCCAGGGCCAAAGAUGAUCAUAGCCUUUCUGUAUAUCCAGGUUCUCAGUAGGGGCUCUGGUUUGGUUUCAUUUCUGCCUCAUUUGUGGGGAAAUGGUGACAACAGACUCGGGGCUCAUCUAACUUUUCUUGAAGCUGCAAACAGGGCUGGAAUACCUCCUGCUGCUUCCUCUGCAUCCGCCAGGCUUGGUUCAACACCUAUCAGACCUUAGGGGAUUGUCCACAGGCUUACAUUAAUUACAGAGGACCGUUUCUUUCAUCUGAGCACGUCAAAGACUUCUACAAAGCUCAAGGAGUGUGAUGUUGUCUUGUGGAAUUUUUUUUUUAUUUUUCCAAGUCCUCUUGGAAAACACUUUUAAAAAGUUGACACCAGGAAAUUGUUCCUUGGGUGAUAUAUGACACACAGCAUUUUCCAACAUCCCCAAUCAUUCAUUAUAGAUUGGGCCACAGGCAGCGUGGGUUUGGCUUGGUCCCGGAAACUUGCUUCAAGCCUAUUGUCUAGUCAUUGUUGGGAUCAUCUGAGUCUGAGGAGCUACAGGCAGGCUCUAUGGGGAGGAUGUGGAGGGAGGGAGGUGAGAGAAGGUUUGUCAUGACUGCAUUCCAGCAAGAAAAUUAUUGUGGCCUGGAGGCAGCUCUCAUGUUUACCCUGGUAAAUGUUUGAAUUUUCUCUGUUGAUUUGUAAUUGAGACAAAUGGAUUGAGAUGUCUGUUCACAUUAUUUUUAAAAAGUGAUGGGCUCCCAUAUUGGCAGAGGCAUUGAGGCACUCAGCAGGGUCAACUGGGACAGUGCUUCUGAGCAAAGUCCUGCUAGCAGAGAUGAAUAAGGCUGAAGAAGCAAGUCCCUGGAGAGAAAGGAAGAGAUGAGAGAGACCCCCAAGUUGUGUGAUCACCUCCAGCACACUGGAGACUGAGCCGUUUCACAAGGAGAGACCUUGGGAGGAGAAGUCAUGAGGACAGUCAACCAGCUCUUUGAAGAAGUCCACAUGCUGAGAAACUGAGGCCUCCUGCCAACAGCCUUGUGAGUGAAUCAUCUUGGAGGUGGAUCCUCCAGCACCUGUAAAACCUUCAGAUGACCACAGAUCUGGCUGACAUUUUGACCUCAAUGUUAUGAAAAAUCUUGAGGCAGAAGCACCCAGCUAAGCCAAUCCUGUAUUCUUCACCUACAGAAACUAUGAGCUAGUCUUCAAUCUGGUCUGGAGUUCAAGCCCUGCCUCUGGAGUCAUGUCCCACCUCCUACUUCACCAGUACCUGCCCUCUCCUCCUGAUUAGUGUAAGGUUAGCUCAUUUUAGAGUCUAUACCACUGGGAGGGCAGAGGAAAUGUGCCAGAUUCACCAUUUAUUGUUUUGUAAUAUGAGGUAGCUAAAUGCUUUCACUCUACAAUGAAAACUCCUUAGAUUAGUCAAUUAGGAUUCAUCCAUGAACCAAGAAGGUGAGUCUAUUUUUUUUUUGCCUUCUUUUGCAGAAUAACUCUGACAUUAAUGGAGAAGAGGAACAGAAAGUGUGCUAGGACCUGUUAGCACACUUUCUGCUAGCAUAUCAUAUCUGUUUUUUAUAAAAAACACAUUGUCUUACACUUAACAUUUUCAUUUAUAUUAGUUCUAUAAUUCCUCCCCAAAAGAUUAUGAAGGAGGUAUAAUUAGCUCCAUUUUUUGGAUGAAGAAACUGAAUAGAACUUGAGCACAGCCUAAUUUAAUGCUUUUUCCUCUAAUCUACACUGUCCAAAAUGAUAGUCACUAGGCACAUGUGGCUAGUAAGCAUGUGAACUUAUAGCACACUUAAGCACUUGAACUUACAUGUAGCUCAUAAGCACUUGAAUUUACAUGUGGCUAGUAAGCACUGGAAAUGUACUGAAUUGACAUGUGCUAUAAAUAGUAUAAAAUCCACAUAGGAUUUCAAAGAUAGUAUGAGAAAAAUAAUGUCAAAUAUUUUCUUAAAUUUUACACUGAUUACACAUCGAAAUGAUAUUUUGAACGUGUUCAUAUUGUUAAAAUUGAUUCCAUCUGUUUCUUUUUACUUAAAUUUUUUAAAAUUGUAAAUUAUUAUUAUGAGUACAUGACAGUUCUUUUUACUUUUAAAUGUGAUAUGGUUACUAUAAAACGUGAAAUUAUACGUAUGGCUUGCAUUUGUGUCCCAGGUUAUAGUUCUACUGGACAGAAAUGCUCUAAACUAAGGCUGAUAUUUUCAGACUCACAACCUCAAGUUACCCCAAGACAGCCCUCAUAUCAUCUCAGGGUCGCUAGGAGGGGAGAAAAAAAUAUAACAGAUUGUAUAAUUGAUAACCCCCUGUUUUUUAUGUUUUGAUAUUUCAUCACGAAAGGGAAGAAACUGAGCACCCUGGUGAUACUGGGGCAGAAGGAUCAGAUGCUAUCCAAUAUCCCGGUGACUUUCUUUGAAGUAUAAUUUUAUGUCAAAAGGCCUUUCCAAACUUAUUCAGGUGUACAAAGCACUAAGGAAAAGUUCAGACCCCUGAGCCAGAAAACUUCAUUUUCCACAUUAAGAUCAAAGGAGUAUGCGGGAGAGAUGUGGCAUUCCCAGUACUGGGGGUUCUGUUAUAACAGGGUCAGAGAGAGGGCCAGAAAGGGAGGAGAAAAGCAAAAGACUGCCCAGAAAGUCAGCCAGUGAAAGCAAGUGACUCAUGUAUACUUUCAUGUACUCAUUAAUGUAGCAAAUAUCCACUUAUUGUCUGUUAUUCAUUGCCUAAUGUGUCCUCAUUAUCUAUAGGCACUGCUCCAAAUUCUAGGGAUACAGUGGUGACCAAGGAUCAAGGUUUCUGCCCUCUAAGAAUUUGUUUUGUAAAGACAAUAGAGAAUAAUAUACAAUGAAUAAGUAAAUAUGAUAACUUCAGAUUCUACUAGUUAGAUUAUAGGUUGGCUGCUAUAACACAGAGACCCAAAUAGCAAUGGCUUAAGCAAGAGAGAACUUCAUUUCUUUCUCAUGUAUAAUAACAAUCUGCGAGUGAGCAGUCUAGGGUGGGAUUAGCACUCCUAUAGUGUUAGAGACCCAGGUUCCUUCUGUCUUGCUGACCUGCCAGUACUGUAUCUGUGGUUAUCUACAAGGUUCGAGAUGGAUCACCAUCUCAGGCAAGCAGGAAGGGAAAGAGAAAGUGAAGGCCUCUCCUCUUCCUUUUAAGGAUGUGACCUAGAAGUUGCACACAUUGUUUAAUUCACAUCCCA